GAGGCGACACGGCGGAACAUCAAGCUGCUGAUCAAGUCCCUCAGCAGACUAUUGUGACCCCUCAGUUGAACUGAACAGCGUGGAUAUGGGUAGAGUAGGCCAUCCGUCCUGAUGGGGUCGGAGCAUCUUUAAGAAGAUAAGCUGAGUUUUUUUUUUCUGCAUUCUUGGCAAGAAAAGCAGUAUUUAUUGUUGUCGUCGAGUUAUGCUAGGCCCAUUUUUGUUUUGUGUUUUGUGCAGCACGGUUGUGGUUGAGCAAGUGUAAACAAGGAAUACUCCCAUUGUUUCUUACCGGUGGCACUCGUUGAUCGGUGUGUCGUCGUCGGGGCGGCACAAUUCAAAGCAGCAGCAGCAGCCUAGUAGGACUGAUAGCUACUGGUAGCACAUCUCGCCAUCGGUCAAUUCAAUCCUUGGACUUGCGCUCUCUGCUUUUGUUUGUGUGGUGGAAUGGAAUCAAACGCGACGACGAAUGUAGCCUGACAACGGGUGCAUCGGUCCAGUUUCGAUCGUGUGGUCUUCCAUUUCGUGCCUCGUCGGAUAUAAGCGGAAGUAUGUUACUAUAUUGAUUAUUUUUCCAGUUUCAAUUGCGUGUGGUGUGCGUGCAAAACAAGCUGCAGGCCGUGCACGCUAGGCGCCAAGCCAAUAAUCCAGCGCCGUUUCCAUUCACUCCGCCUUACAUCUUGUCUUGUCCAUGUUCAGUAGUACGUUGUUGGAUGGAUGGAUCCAAGUUGAUUAUUCAUCCUUGCAUCAUACUGCAACUAGCUUAAUUGCUGGAACGAUUCAGUAUGGCUGAAGCAUCUUCACAAGCCAAAGGCAGAAAACCGUCGGUGCGCCAUCUCAUCUCAUCUUUUUGUUGUUGUUCUUCUUCUUCCGAAAAGGAUCCAGAUCCAUUACGUAGGUUUGUCAAAACUAAAGGCAUCCCAGACAUAAUAAAAUUUACAUCGACC
rnacentral:lncRNA from 1 species